CAGAUGACACUCUUUCUGGGCUA
rnacentral:siRNA from 1 species